rnacentral:rRNA from 1 species
ACGGAAGGCAGCAGUAGGGAAUUUUCGGCAAUGGACGGAAGUCUGACCGAGCAACGCCGCGUGAACGAAGAAGUAUUUCGGUAUGUAAAGUUCUUUUAUUAGGGAAGAGAAGACAGAUUGACUGUACCUAAUGAAUAAGCUCCGGCUAACUACGUGCCAGCAACCGCGGUAAUACGUAGGGAGCGAGCGUUAUCCGGAAUUAUUGGGCGUAAAGGGUGCGCAGAUGGCACAUUAAGUUUCUUGUUAAAAUGCGGGGCUCAACCCCGUAUCGGAAGAGAUACUGAUGAGCUAGAGUACGAAAGAGGCAAGUGGAACUCCAUGGGUAGCGGUAAAAUGCGUAAAUAUAUGGAAGAACACCAGUGGCGAAGGCGGCUUGCUAGGUCGAUACUGACAUUGAGGGACGAAAGAGUGGGGAGCAAACAGGAUUAGAUACCCUGGUA